rnacentral:rRNA from 1 species
AUUGAACGCUGGCGGCAUGCCUUACACAUGCAAGUCGAACGGCAGCACGGGAGCAAUCCUGGUGGCGAGUGGCGAACGGGUGAGUAAUACAUCGGAACGUGCCCAGUAGUGGGGGAUAACCCGGCGAAAGCCGGACUAAUACCGCAUACGACCUACGGGUGAAAGCAGGGGAUCGCAAGACCUUGCGCUAUCGGAGCGGCCGAUGUCAGAUUAGCUAGUUGGUGGGGUAAAAGCCUACCAAGGCGACGAUCUGUAGCUGGUCUGAGAGGACGACCAGCCACACUGGGACUGAGACACGGCCCAGACUCCUACGGGA